UACGUAGGUGGCAAGCGUUGUCCGGAAUUAUUGGGCGUAAAGCGCGCGUAGGCGGUCCUUUAAGUCUGAUGUGAAAGCCCACGGCUCAACCGUGGAGGGUCAUUGGAAACUGAGGGACUUGAGUGCAGGAGAGAAGAGUGGAAUUCCACGUGUAGCGGUGAAAUGCGUAGAGAUGUGGAGGAACACCAGUGGCGAAGGCGACUCUUUGGCCUGUAACUGACGCUGAGGCGCGAAAGCGUGGGGAGCAAACGGG
rnacentral:rRNA from 1 species